rnacentral:rRNA from 1 species
GACGUAGGGCGCGAGCGUUGUCCGGAUUUAUUGGGCGUAAAGAGCUCGUAGGCGGCUUGUUGCGUCGGCUGUGAAAUCCCAUGGCUCAACUGUGGGCUUGCAGCCGAUACGGGCGGGCUAGAGUUCGGUAGGGGGAGACUGGAAUUCCUGGUGUAGCGGUGAAAUGCGCAGAUAUCAGGAGGAACACCGGUGGCGAAGGGCGGGGU